rnacentral:lncRNA from 1 species
ACCAGAUCCCAGAGGCUGAACACCUCGACCUUCUCUGCACAGCAGAUUACAGGUGUGGAACUUAGGAUCAGAAAAGGGGAGUGAUUUCUGUAAAGGCUUGCUAAGUUAGCAAGACAAUAUACCCACUUCAAGAGCACUCUCCUGUCAACAUGUAUUGAAAAUUUUUAAUAUAGAAGGCACUACAUUGGCAAUUUUGAUGAUCAAAAGAUAAGUUUUUCUUUAUUGCAUGAAUGUAUAAUCCAUUAGAAAACAUAUACUUGACUAAAAUUUGCAAACAUACAGCAUGGGGAGUGAUUAGCAGAGAGGGAAAGCAAGUAUCAUGCUGUGGCAAAACGAGGAAGGUGAGAGCAUCAGGAAGGACAGCCAUGAGAGGUGGGCAUGUGUGGGGAGGCAGCGAUGAUGUGGAGAGCCUGCCAGAGAGCAUGUGCAGCAGGCACAGUGUGAACAGAGGCUCCCAGGUGGAUUGUGGGAGCCUUAGGGGGAAGUUUAGAUAAGAGUUC